ensembl:ncRNA F35H10.14 ncRNA
UCGAAGAGAUUGAGAGAGCGAUUCUGCUGACCGCGAGCAGGUAUCUCCAGCGUAUAGACCUGGAAAUAUUAAUAUAUGAGUAUUUUAGAAGAAUGCAACUUAAAAUAAGCUUACCAAGUUUGCAAUCACCGUUCUCAUCUUUUUGA